rnacentral:lncRNA from 1 species
GAUGCCACCACAGCAUGGCUUGAUGAGUGGUGUAAAGGUCCGUACCCAGCAUCCAAACCUCCGAACCCUGGGCUGCUGAAGCGGAGCACACCAACUUAACCACUACGCAAUGAGGCCAGCCCCUAGUUUUUAGUUUUUUUUUUUUUUAUUAAGGUUAUGAAAGUUAACAUCCUUGUGAAAUUACAGUUGUGCAUCAUUAUUGGUCAUGUUGUGGGUACACCACUUCACCCCUAGUGCCCUCCCCCCACCCCUCUGUGUUUAUUUUUUUUAAAUCACUAUUACACAAGUUGCAUUUUACUAACCAUGUUUGUAAUUCGUUGGCAGAUUUCUGACUUAGGGACAGGUUUUUCAACAUUGCACAUUAGAGUCACCUGGAGAACCCUUGAAAAAAUACCGAUGACUGGCUCCUGCCCACAGAGAUUCUGGUUUCGUUAUUCUGAGGCGGGGCCUAGGUCUGCUUGUUGUUGUACUGUGCAAACAGACCUGAGAAGCACUGGCCCAUAGUAACAUUUAGAAAAGACUCAGUGGUCCCUUUGCCUCCCCUCUCCCUGGGCUUCCAACCUGAACUCAGCUUUCUAGAUCUUUCCAUUCCAAUGGCUGGGAAAGGCAGAUCCAAGGAAAGGAAUGGAAUGGCUUUGCGGCUGGAGACCUAAAGAGGAGAUAUUAAAGCUGUAGGCCACACAGCAUCCAGGGCAAGACUCCUCCCAAGCUCGAGGCGUUCCCAGGCCUGUUUUACCACCGGCCCAUGCGAGAAGAGUACUCUUCACUGGAGAGCCAAUCCGGGGGGUGGAAGACUGAAAGGGGUCUGGCUGUGACCUGCCAGAGGCCCCACUCCUGGCUCCUUGACCCAGUGAACAAAGCUCCUUCCUGUUGGUUGGUAAGGUAUACUUCUAACCCUAACGUUCAAGAAAUUACCUACACAAAGUUGAAGGUGAGUCUUAGAAUUUUAUGCGUAGGUGAGCUUUGAAGAGCCCCUGCCCUUAUUUGAGAGUAAAUAAGCUAAGGUGGCCAAGCCACUGUGAAACCUGUGAUCACAAGGGUAAGUAGACAGUUGCUGGCAGAGCUGGGAGUGGCUCCUGUAUAUAGGUCAUCAGGUUGCAGUGUUGUACCUUACUCACUAGAUCAUGCUGUUCAAAGUUCUGCCUAUAACAGCUUCCCAACUUGUUCUAUGGCACAACCAGAGACACUCACAACUAGAAUAUACAACUGUGUACUGGGGGGCUUUGGGAAGAAGAAAAAAAAAAACUUGUUAUAUAAACCUACAAUUUUUUAAAAAAUUCUUAGUUUUAAUAACCUCUGUAUUCCAACUCUUAAAAAUUAUUCUAGAGAACCAGAUUCAAACCUGCAGAACAAGAAUGUAACUUGUUAUAAAGUUAGUUGAAGGAAAAACAUUUUACAUACGUUAUUUGAUAGAGAUUAGUACAUACCACAAGACUAUAUUCACGUGAAUGAAAAUCAUUUAGAUAUCUCCUUCUGCAGUUUAUUAGGAUAUGGAGUUGGAGUUAUUUAUUCCUUUCAAGUUAUAGUUUAUGACAACAUCAACUUUAUUUUGUUGGAAAGCGUACAAACAUAGCAACUGGGGAGCGGUUUCCCUGCGAAGCUUCAAGGAUGUGCAUUUAAUUGAGUCAUUUGUCUUAAAAAUUUUAAUAUCUGCGAGAUAGUUUGAAGUCACUAUCUCUGCAUUUUAUAAAAAUACAUAUCUUUAACCAUUUCUUAAGCAGCUGGUUGCUAAGACCCAAAAUGUGCUAAACCCUUUGUAUGGCCCCUCUGCAGUUCCGGGAGAGAUCGGCAGAGACUGUGGGUGUCUAUGGAGUGGUUCCAUGUGGUUAUGCUGUUUAGACUUCGUCAUCAAGAUACCCAUACCGGCAGGGGCCGGCCCUGUGGCGCAGCGGUUAAGUGCACACGUUCUGCUUCUCAGCAGCCUGGAGUUCGCCGGUUCGGAUCCCGGGUGCGGACAUGACACCGCUUGGCAAAAGCCAUGCUGUGGCAGGCAUCCCACAUAUAAAGUAGAGGAAGAUGGGCAUGGAUGUUAGCUCAGGGCCAGUCUUCCUCAGCAAAAAGAGGAGGAUUGGCGGCAGAUGUUCUCUUAGGGCUAAUCUUCCUCAAAAAAGAAAAAAAAAAAAGUGGGAACCUGGGAGUAAUUUCCACAGAGAUGAUAGCUGAAGACAGUGAAUGUGGUAACCAAAGACAGAGUGUCAACGGAUUUGUAUUUGAGAUACAAUGGGAGAAAAACAUCGAGGAGAAGAAGCUGCCAAACCUGGAGUCAGGCUGAACCUUUCCAUAGCUGUGAGACUUUGGGCAGCUAACUUAAUCUUCUGAGCCUAAGGUUGUUCCCAUGUGGAAUGGGAAGUAAUGUAUAUGAAGCCUAGCGAUGGUUAGUUCCUCUCCCUUUUCAAAGAAGAAAGAAUUAGUAAAACGAGUACCCCAGGGACCUUGGAAAGAGAUUUCAAGAAGGAAAUGGUCAAGAAUGGGGUCAUGGGCAAUAGGAAUCAGAAGAGUCUGGGAAUUCUGGAGCCGACAUACUCCCUGCAGUGCCACCAGCGUUGUUGGCUCUCAGUCCCCUGUGAAUUGUCUCCGAUAAUGAUAGGUGAAGCAGCAGCUGUGAAGACUGCAGCUUCUCUGUGAAUAUCCGUCUUGUUUUACAUUAUAAUGUGUUUUCUUCAGUGAAGGAGAAAGGGUGGGACUUCAGAUAGAGCCAGAAAUUGCUGCUGACCCUGAGAGUGCCCGUUUAGCUCUUAUGCCAGAAAAACGUUUUAAGAAUGGCCACUCCUAGGAAGCCAGUUCAGGAGAGUGGAAGGAGCAGAAAUCAGAUUAUUUGGGUUUAACGAGCAUGUGAAGAAAAAUUGAAAGCUAUGGGUACAGACAUUUUGAAACUGCAACAUUGAUGCAUUUUCCACUCAAGGUCCCAGUAAUCCUAGACCAAAAAGAAUUCUGACUUGAAUUUCUCUAAAUGAUGUAGGGUACUCGCUCAUUACCCAACCUUCCAGUCUUCUGACUUUAUUCCAGACCAACCUCCUUACCCUACGAGCGGCAUCCAGUAAGGGUUGUGGGCUCCGCAGGCCUGCCUACCAUCUGCGCCUUUUCAUUUUGUUCUCUCUUUGCUUAUUUUAUUCCCUGCUCGCUCUCUCUAUAUUGACCUGGAGUGUAACCUGACUUUGGCUUCUCUGUCUGACCCCAUGUUCCUCAUCAUUACUCAAAGUCCAGUAAAAGACAGUCCUUUCUUUUCUCAUUUCAUUCGACCUUCUCUCCCACCCACCCCACCCCAUGCCUCCUUCUCUCCAGACCGCUCUCUUCUCCAAAUGGAACCAGAGCUUCCUGGCUCCAGGGCUGUUUGUUUGGUUUGAAAGUUCCUGGCCCUCCCUCUGGCUUCAUUUUCUUUGCCUAUUGGGAUUCUCUGCCCUUCAGCCCUCAACUCACAUUCAGUCCAGGACCUCUCCAGAGCUCUGUGUACUUAGAUUAUCUGCAGCAUUUUGUCAGGCCAUGUCUGCCAGUCAUUUCCAGCUGUCUAAGCGCCUGGACUUGGCAUGCCUCAGCAGUCAUUUCUCUGCCCUUUUCUCUUUUCACCCCUCCUUGCCCUCCAGCGCUUUCACAUAAUAGUCACUCAGUAAAUGUCUUUUAUUGAUAGUCGAGAAGAAACUCAUUAAUUCUGGUUCAGAUGUCAUGUAACACUUUUCACCUGCUCAUUGUGUUGGCAAUGCAUUUGAUAUUUCAUUUCCCCCCUCUGCUUAACAAACGGGUUUCUCUGUGUGUGAGUAAAAUACUAAAUUUUUGUUUCACUCUUCUGGAGUCUUCUAGUUUUUUGUUUGUUUGUUUUUUACUUUGAGAAGCCAAUGGUUAUUGGAAGGAAUCAAGGUGACCGUGGUAAAGCCUCUCACCAGUGCUUUAUAAGCCUGUUGGUUCUUGUUGUGUUUUAUUUUUUUAAGGUAGCAUAUUGCUUUUCAAAUCAUAAAAAUAGUACAUAUUUACUCUAGAUGACAGAAACAGAAAUGAAUAACAGCACUCGUAGGUAUAUACCCAGGAGAAUUGGGAACAGGGAACAUACGGUCACACAAAACUUUGUACAUGAGUGUUCCUAGCAGCAUUACUCAUAAUAGUCAAAAGGUUGAAACAGCCCAAAUGUCCAUCAACUGAUGGAUGAAUAAACAAAAUUGGGUAUGGCCAUACAAUGGAAUAUUAUUCAGCCCUAAAAAAGUGUUGAAUACAUGCCACAACACAACCUUGAAAACACUAUGCUAAGUGAAAGAAACCAGAUACAAAAGACCACAUAGCGUAUAUUUCCAUCUGUAUGAAAUGUCUAGAAUAGGCAAAUCCAUGGAGAUAGAAAGUAGAUUCGUGGUUGCCAGGGGCUGGGGGAUGGGAGGAAUGAGGAGUGACUCCCAGCAGAUGCAGGGUUUCUUUUUUGGGGUGGUGAAAAUGUUUUGCAAUUAGGCAGUGGUGAUGGUUGCACAACCUCACGAAUUUACUAAAAAUCACUGAGUUGUACACUUUAGGUGAAUUUUAUGGUUGUGAAUUAUAUUUCAAUUUUUAAAAUAAAGGAAAAAUAAAAAUCACUGGUAGUGUAUUAUUUCCUUUCAGUGUUCUGACACGUGUUACUGAAACGCUUUCCAAAGAGGGCGUGUGUAACUGUUCACUGUUUGGCAUCCUUGCUAGAAUUCAGAAUUGCUAUUUUCUAAAUCUUUCUAAAUUUGACAGAUGAAAAUAUUGUACCUCAUCGUUUAAAUAUAUGGAUUUUUGUAAUGACUGGUGAGAUUAUUUUCAUGUGUAUGAUUUUUAGCCAUUGGAAUUUCUUCCAUUUCUUAAUCUUAUUUAAAUGAUGGUCUUAAUGGCUUUCUUAUAGCUUAUUCCACAUCUCUUUUCUUUUUAAACAUAGAAAAACAGUUCAUGUUCCCAAACAGAAUGCUGCUAAAGUGUCUGCAUUUAGGAUAAUGUUUCCCCAAGGCGUGAAAAUAAUUGAUUAGCGUUUGUGCAACUAAAUAGCGCACACAAGUGUGCAGAUCAAAGAUCAGUUUUCCCAAAUGUCAUUUCCCCCCUUUUAGCACAAAACCAUUUUCAGCUUUGAAGUAAUAGUAUUUUCCGCGUCUGUGUGUAUUUACAUUCCAGAAAUAAAGCUCACUUGGCAUUUGGGUACUGUUUUUUUCAAAACAGUUCUGAACUUCAUUUGCUAGUAUUUUAUAAAAUAUUUUCUAGGCUUUAGAGUGAGGUUAUGUUAACAGUGCAAAGUCAAUUGGGCUUUUUUUUUUUUUUUUUUUUAAUCUAUGCUCUAGAAGAAAUUUAUUUAGCAGGGAAUUAUCUGUUCCUUGAAAGUUUGAAAGAAUUUAUCCACAACACCUUAGGGGCCUGGCACUUCAAUAACAUUUUCAAGUUUCUUUCAUCAAUAAUAAUCAGUUGAUAUUUCCUACUCUUUUGAAGUCAGUUUUAGUCAUUUACACCAUAGAGAUGCACAUAGCAUCUUCAUAAUUCUUUGCAAACUCUUUCUGGCCACGUAUGCUGUUGGGCAGAUUUGCUGCCCCUGUGCCGAUUGAACUUGCGCCUCUGUGAUCUGAGAGCAGAGCUGCAGGCAAGGCCAUCCCCUCCCGUGGCCCCCAGGAUCCUCUUACUAUAAAGAAAACCUCACCCUGUUCCUCCUCCUCUUAAAGCACUUUAAUGGCUCGAUGUUACCUUCAGGAUAAAGCCCAAGCUUUUCUCAUGGCAGAGAGGCCAUUUUAGGUUAGGUCCCUGGCGACCCCUCCAGCCUCAACCCUCACCACUUGCCCUAACCACUCACGCAAAGUCUCCUGUAGUGAACUUCCUGCCAUUUCCCAGAUGUCUGCCCUUCCCUGCUCUGGGCCUUUGUGCAUGCUGCUUCCUCAACUGAGUGCCCCGUCCGUCUAACUAACCCCCACCCCACCCUUGGGACUCCACUCAGACGCCAACUCCUCCGUGACUUAUCUUCCCACGGGUUGUGUACCCCUGGGCCUGUGCCUCCACAGCCACACCCCUCACUCCUGCCCUAGCAUUCAACACUAAUUAUUUUAAUUGCCCCUUUCGUUGUUUGUGUUCAUCAUUAGAUUGGGAAUGUUGAGGGCAGGGAGGGUCAGUAACACUCAAUCUUGUAUCCCAAGCAGCUACCUUAGGACCUGAUGUGAAGUCCAUUGUAUUGAAUGAAUCAAUGAACAAAUAAAGAUAAGCAUGCCUUUAUCACUAAUCUUAUGCCUACAGCUAAUCAUGCAAGCGUCAAGAGUGUAGACUGAAGCCAGACUGCUUGAGUUCACUUUCCAGCAUCACCAUUUGCUUUCUGUACCUCUCUGUGCCUCAGUGGACACCCAUGUUAGCUACUUCUCAAGGUCAAGGACAUGAUGCUGGCAUUCGAUGACAUCAAACUAAUAGGACUUGGAGGCAGGACAUAGCAGGUGCUGUAGACACCUUGGAUAAGAUACAUAUGUGCCCAAAGUGAGAGAUGUAGCCCAUGGAAGUAUAAAGGGCUGCCACCUCAUUAAAGUAUAAAUCUCUUAUAAAGUCCAAGGAUUUGGAUGUCAUCUUCAAAGGAAGAGGUCUCACGGACUCCUCUGGUUCUGAUCAAGAAACUCACUUUACAAUUUAAGAAGAAAAUGGGCUGAUGUUUAUGGUGUUUAUGGUUCAGGUGUUUCUCCAUGUAUCCUGGCAGAAGCAGGCAGCCUUAAGCAGUCCAUAGGUUACAGGAUAUAAAGACGGAAGCCAGCUGGAACUAGAGAAAGAACAUCACCGAGAGAGAUCCUGGAUGGGAAGCUGGAUGCGCUGAUGAGACCUUGCGGUGUCUCCUUUUUGGACUGAGGGAGUGUCCCGUAAGAAGCGAUUUAAUGAAAAAGAAACCGUCUUGGAAUUUUCCGCAGCCCAUGAUUUGAGAUAACUGGCGUUGUAACCAACAGCCUGUCUGGAUCAAGAAUGGACGCCUGCAGGCGACAGCUCCCUCCACAAACCUUCUUCUGAUUUCUCCAGUAGAACGACAUAGAUAGCACCUCGCUACGUCCCGUACAGAUUGCACUAAAGAACUCAAGCUGUUCACCAACUGCUCUGCCUUUCAGACGAACAACAGAGGAUGCGAGGAUUGCGACCAUGUAAUAGGAGAUGUUGGACAAAAAGUGAUUAAAAAGCAAGAUCUCAAGUUACUCCUGCCACUGAGGCAUUUAGUACUGUUGCACAGGAAAUGCCAGAGCGUUGUGCAAAUGGAGGAGCCAUUUUCAGUUCUCACCUCAAGCUGGAAGGGACUUCUCUGGCCAGAGGGCCUUUAAAACCCCUUUUUGUCACCGCAGUCUGUAAUGAAUACAGCCACUAGAAGAGAAGCCACUAGAACCACAGAGCCCAUCUCUAACCUCGGGUUAGAGAUUCGGAGUGCCAGCCCCCUCAGCUGUUCCCAGACUCAGCAUGCAAACACUGUCCCUUCAGCGUGUGCGGAAAACGACGUUUAGUAAUCAGAUCCUGUAGAAAGAGGCAGACCUCCCAGUGCAGGGCACACUGUGAGAUGGGGAGACGUGCGCUGCCUACAGAGAAUUAGACCCAACCUGCCCCUCUGCUUUAGGGCCAUCACCAGAAUCAUCUGAAGCGGAGCGGGAGCUGGGGAUCAGAACCCACCAUGGGUUGCUACGCAGUGUGUGCUAUUGCCCCCCCUUCAGUCAUUCUCAAUGCUUCAUUUUGCCAUAUUCCUAAAGUUCUGAGCUUGGAGAAUUCUAAGGCAAUAUUAGAGUCUUCUAGAAAAAUAAAGAUAUGCAUUGUCUUUUACUUCUUUCCCAUCGUUCCUGCCACACAUUACAAUAGCUCUUUAUUUAAGGGGGCAUCUAAUUUGGUGGAAAGAGCAUUUCACUUGCUGUUUUAUGUGGGACAAGGCUUCCUGUGCUUUAUUUCGUUAUCUGCAGUGCCAGUUUUUAUGGUUCUGCGGUAAAUUUACUGGCGGGGAGUGGGUAUGGGGUGGAACAGAAUAACAUGGGGUCUAGAGUGCCUAGAUGGCAGGCAGAUAGUUCGGCCAGAAAAAUAGCAAGGCCAAAAACAAAUUGUACCUUUGAGAGCCUGAAAGAGCGUGAGCUGAGUCCCCGACUGUAAUUUUAACUGUGUUGAUUGUGAGGGCAGGUGUUUGCUCUCUGAUAAUGAGUAGACUUUAAUCCUAGGUGUGAGUACAAAUCAUGUCAACAAGGGUGGCUCCGGAGAAAUUCAAAGUAAUUGCCCAAGACAUAACAUCAGCCCACAACCAAAUUCUCACACUGAAGAAUUAUGCUACUGGUGAGUAGGAAUGGCAGUCCUGAUACAGCUCAUUAGAUAACAGAAAAGGCGCUGAUUCUUCCAAGUCAACAAAUAUCUUCUGAUGCUUCAGGAGCCAGCUGAGCAAGCUAUUCCAGCCAUGGAGAGGCGUGGCUCUGGUGGUGACACGCGGUGUGGUGACACAUGGUGAACACCCAAACUCGGUCAUGCUGAUUAGUUGCGUAAUGGAUGGAUGAGUCAAAGAUCACGCUUUCUAGUUUGUCAGCUACCUGGUAGCUCCCAGGAACUUGCUCUGGUCUGUCAGUGGCUACGUGCAAGCAAUGCUGGGGCUCCUUAUGAGCCCACGGAGUCAUCAUCAGGACCUGAGUUUCAGGGGAGCAGGAUUGUGGUGAAGAUCAAAUGAUGAAUAUACGUAAAGCGGUUGAGAAGUGCCUGGCACGCAGUAAAUUCUAUGUAAUUACAACCUAAGACAUCACCCCUGCAAAAGAUCCGAGCCCGGAUAAAGUGGUUAAGGGAUGGCCGAAGGAGAGGAGUUGCCUGGGAUACUGGGAGCAAGCUAACGUGGAGUGGCUGAGCCUACCAGAGUCUCCCCUGUCCCUCUCAUCUGGAGAAGACAGUGUUCAGGCUUUCGUCCCUCUCCACAGACACAUGGUUGGCCAAGGUGGCCAUCAGACACGAGGGAAUAUGAGCUCACAAGAAAAAAAUGAGACAUCUGAGGACUGAAAAUACUAUAAAAUAAAGAUGACAAAACUGAAGAGCCAACAUCAGAGGAAGCACAAUUAAAGAACCAGGAAAAUAAACAUCAGAUUGAGCAUCAGAGAUGUCCUUGGAAAUAAGGGGAGGAAUUAGAAAUGUGGAAGUAUGAAAAGAAUAAUAGAUGUAAUGAGGAAGAAACAAUGCCAUAUGAGAAAGAAGAACUAAUAUUUAGUAAGUACCUCCCUACGCCAAGCACUCUUCCACGUAGCAACUCAUCUCAUCUUCACAACCCUGUGAGUAGGCACCAUGAUUAUCCCCAUGUCACAGAAGAGGAAACUGAAGCAUGGAGAUUUAAGUAUCUUGCUCAAGGUUACCCAACUUAUAAAUGUACUAGAGACAGAGAGAAACACAGAGGGAGAGACACAGAAAGAGAGACUGAAUAAUUUCAGAAGCCUCACAGCCUGAAGAUCUGGCCAUUGGGUUUCAUGCGUUGAAGGGCAAGCACCCUUCAGAUGGCCUCAGUCCUCACGGCUUGUCUCUUGCUCGAAAGACCGGGGUCGGUUUUUCUUCACCGGUGCUCAUGUACGUUACCUGCUGGCCUCUGAGACACUUGAAUCUGUGUCCCUUUGAAAGAUGAUGCCCAAAGAGGAUCAGUCCUGGGAUGUACAAAGUCUCAGCAAAGAGAAGUGAAAUACGUCCACUGUGGUUUGACAUGCCUUAUGAAGAUAGGACUGACAGGCCUUGCAGAUGGACCAGAUGUGGAGGGUGAGAAGCUGAGAGAAGAUGCUGAGAUUUCUAGCCUGAGCAUAUGGAUAUAAGGAAAACUAACGGAAGGACGUUUCCAGUAGGUCACUCAUAAUUCCACUUCCUGAAAAGAUGGUAUGCUAUCCAAGAGAAAGAGAAGAAGAAACUUGGGAAGUGUGUCCCACCCCCCCCCCCCCCCCGAGAUGGAGGCCAAAGGCCAGGCGGCAAGGGACUCUUGGACCCACUGUGCUCGCAUCAUCUGUGCUGCUGUGGAUCGACCACGGUCAGGAGCAGCUUGCAGGAAAACAGAAGACUCUGGGUCCCCAGAGGCAGGGGCCCCAGGAAGGAGAUUGCACGCCACCACGGCGUGUGCCUCGAGUGGCAGUUGAGCCCAGGAGAAAAUACAUGGGAAAACUGGCUCCUGGUGUGGCUGUUUCAGCAAACACAAAGAAGAGACCCCAAAGAGUAAAGUCCCCCAAUUAGGGCUGCUGUUGGCCCAGCUGCCUGCAGGCUGCUGUACCCAUCAAGCAAUGGAUGGUAAAGGUUGCCUCUUCCUAAGGAAAUACCUUGAAAACAGGAAUAAGGCUAAUGCCAAAAAUUCCAGACAUAGUCAAGGUGGUACGGAAGCUAUUUGGGGUCGUGGGAACCUUCUAGCAGGGCCUUGCAAAUUAGACCACAAAGUGCUCCAUUCUGAACACAGGCAGUUUUGAGAAACCAGCGUAGCUGGUGUGAGUUUUACUGCAUGACACUCAGAUGUAAGAAAUGUCACUUUUCCUUGUUUCUAUAAAUAAGAUCAUUUUGCUCAGGGCCCUUACCUUCUUGCUGAGUGGACCAUUCCAUCUCAGUCACUUCAAAUUCUCUCUCUCAUCUCAACAUCUCCCUACCACACACUCACACAUAUACACAGAGAAGGCUGCAAAAAUCCUGAGAUUGCAGGGUGCAAAAAACGCUAGGAAAGCAGCGAGUCAGUCCAGGAGACGCACAUAAAUGAAAUCCAUUGAGAUGGGAGCCACCGGCUGGGGAAAACACUAUACAUCUCAGAGCAAUGAGGUGUGAACCAGAUAGAUUUCUGCAAAGGGUGCAGCAAAUGAAGUGGUAAGAAGAGAGGCAGCGAGCCAGCCCUGAUGGUCUAGUGGUUAAAGUCCACCACUCUCACCACUUCGGCGGCCCCGGGUUCAGUUCCUGGUCACAGAACCACACCACCCAUCUGUCAGUUGCCAUGCUGUGAUGGCACCUCACACAGAAGAUCCAGAAGGACUUACAACAACAAUAUACAACUAUGCACUGGGGCUUUGGGGAGAAAAAAAAAAAAAGAAGAAAGGUAGCUUUCGUGUAGGCCUCAUUGGCUGUAAUGGCUUCCCCCAGAGACAGACCGUUGAGGUGGCCCAUUAAGCUGCAGGCAUUCACUGUGGGUCACACAUAGGAGGAUGAGAGAUGCAGAGGAGAGAGUCCCCUCGGCUCGGAGGCCCUAGAGCUCUCCUCUUGCCCAGGGCUCUGGAUGCGGGCCUCCUGUAAAGUGCUCCUUCCUGCUGUGUUCUCCUCAGACUUUCCUCCUCAACCUGAUCGCUCUGGUCUUGCCUCUGAUCUCACCUUCAGACCUUGGCUUUGCAUCUUGUUUCCCUUCUCCACUCGACCCCGCAGACUUGAUGUUUAAGCUCUUCUUAGCUCUCCAAGCACCCUCAUGCAGGAUUCAAGGAUUAGUUCCCUUUCCCUCACACCGAAGCCACAGAGACUUCCUACGGAGUCCCUCUCUCUGGCUGGCUCCAGGACUCAUAGUCUAGGAUAAACGCAUAGUACUCCCUCAAAGCCGGAGUUCAACAGUUAUCCUUGUUGGCCCCGGGGUCCCCAUUCACGCCAAGCUCCAGUUCACACUUGACAUGACAACUCUAGCUUGUUGGGUCUUUCCAUGGUCUGGCCUCACCCUGCUCUUUUCCUGGUGGUUGGUUGACUCCUCAACAAUUACAAAUUCUUCUUACUCGAAUGAGGGAGAGCAGGAGCUAUUUCAGUACUGGGCCCCUCAGUCCUGGGAUCCUGUGCCCACUAUUAAGCAGAACCCUCAUGCCCCUAAGGCUAACAGCUCCCUCUAGUGGCAGCGAUGCAACUACAGCUGCGGUCACUGAUAGUAAUAGCGAAUUUUUUGGUGUUUGUUUGUAGGCACCGUUUUGUGUAGUCGACAUAUAUUAAUAAUUUAAUAGUCACAUCAAUCCAUUGAGAGAGGCGUUAUUAGUAUCACCAUGUUACAGAUAAGGAGACAGACACAGAGAGAUUAACUUGCCCAAGAACUUAACAGCUAGUUAGGAACAGAGCCAGCCUCUGAGCCCAGGAGGUCUGCUUCCAAAGUUGGCGAUUUGAUCUCUGUACUAUGACUCCCUCUCAAAACGAAAGACAGUACCCGCUCACUCCACUAAAACCCUCAAACACACCUCCACCCUUCCCACAGAAAUUCCUUCUCCAGGAGGAUGGGCUACAGGCUUGCAGAUGCGUAGUGCGGGCCCCCUUCCCCCUUAGAAGGUAAGGUGAGAGGAGUUUGGUACUUCUCCUCUGACCAGGCAGGCCACUGCUCCAAGGUGCCUUUGGACAUCUCUUCAGGUUUCUGAGCUCUGUGGUGGUCCCCUGGUGUUUCUGGGUGCUGGCUUCAUGCCUAAGGUGGCAGCUCAGAUAUUAGCCUUGCUUCUCUCUUUAUAGAGAGGCCUAGCAGCCUAGAGAAAUGGCCUUGCCAGCAUAAGAUAGUUAUUAUCUUAAGCUGCAGGUUCAGACUAGGGAUCAGACUGAUUCUCCUCUUGCUAUGUGGCUAUGGCUCCUCAGCCAGGCACAGGAAUGUAAUGACUUUCGACCAUGGACUUGGUUUUAGAAAGGACUCAGGGACAUACUCUCCAAAGAACUUGUCUGCUCCGCUUCCCCAGGCAGUUAGGCCUCCUUAUAAAGAAAGAAGCAGGGCUAAUAUCUGAGCUGCCACCUUAGGCAUUAAGCGAGCACCCAGAAACACCAGGGGAGUAUCACAGAGCUCAGAAACCUGAAGAGAUGUCCAACUUCCAGUCAAAGAUCCCUGUAUUCAUGUGAGGGGCAAUUUUAGACUCAACAUGUUUCUCUGCCCAGAUGGUCCUGCAGGCUCAGCCCCCAUCUGACACUCAGCAGAAGGAGGAAUGUCAAGGGUGUCUUAUGAGAUAUUUCCACUGACCCUCAUGUGGGGAAGCAUGUGGUCCCCGUCAUUGGAGGAUGGGACCCGUGACAGUCUCAUGAGUGUUGUUUCCACUCUUGACUUUCCUUUCACUUUUGGUGCCUGCAUUGCCUUAAGCCAUGCAAAGCCUCAUUCUUCCUAGUAUCCCCAUGGUAGGAGUUCUGGGAAAAUACAGUCAACAUCUAUGAAUCCCAAACCCAAGUAGGCAUGCAGUCAUAUUCAGAGAAGCAGAGUCCACAAGCUAAAAGAAUUUUUAAAAGGAAGCCCAGUCUUUAACUUGCAUCUCUAUUAUAUCAGGAGGGACUUAAUUUAUAAUUUCCAAAAACAUUACAUGGGACACAGCCUUUAAAAGACUGCCAAAAG